CGGGGUGUAGCUCAGUCUGGUAGAGUGCAUCGUUCGGGACGAUGAAGCCGUAGGUUCAAAUCCUAUCACCCCGACCA
rnacentral:tRNA from 1 species